UCGAUUCCCUUAGUAGCGGCGAGCGAAACGGGAAGAGCCCAAACCAACAAGCUUGCUUGUUGGGGUUGUAGGACACUCUAUACGGAGUUACAAAGGACGACAUUAGACGAAUCAUCUGGAAAGAUGAAUCAAAGAAGGUAAUAAUCCUGUAGUCGAAAAUGUUGUCUCUCUUGAGUGGAUCCUGAGUACGACGGAGCACGUGAAAUUCCGUCGGAAUCUGGGAGGACCAUCUCCUAAGGCUAAAUACUCUCUAGUGACCGAUAGUGAACCAGUACCGUGAGGGAAAGGUGAAAAGCACCCCGGAAGGGGAGUGAAAUAGAACCUGAAACCGUGUGCUUACAAGUAGUCAGAGCCCGUUAAUGGGUGAUGGCGUGCCUUUUGUAGAAUGAACCGGCGAGUUACGAUUUGAUGCAAGGUUAAGCAGUAAAUGUGGAGCCGUAGCGAAAGCGAGUCUGAAUAGGGCGUUUAGUAUUUGGUCGUAGACCCGAAACCAGGUGAUCUACCCUUGGUCAGGUUGAAGUUCAGGUAACACUGAAUGGAGGACCGAACCGACUUACGUUGAAAAGUGAGCGGAUGAACUGAGGGUAGCGGAGAAAUUCCAAUCGAACCUGGAGAUAGCUGGUUCUCUCCGAAAUAGCUUUAGGGCUAGCCUCAAGUGAUGAUUAUUGGAGGUAGAGCACUGUUUGGACGAGGGGCCCCUCUCGGGUUACCGAAUUCAGACAAACUCCGAAUGCCAAUUAAUUUAACUUGGGAGUCAGAACAUGGGUGAUAAGGUCCGUGUUCGAAAGGGAAACAGCCCAGACCACCAGCUAAGGUCCCAAAAUAUAUGUUAAGUGGAAAAGGAUGUGGCGUUGCCCAGACAACUAGGAUGUUGGCUUAGAAGCAGCCAUCAUUUAAAGAGUGCGUAAUAGCUCACUAGUCGAGUGACACUGCGCCGAAAAUGUACCGGGGCUAAACAUAUUACCGAAGCUGUGGAUUGUCCUUUGGACAAUGGUAGGAGAGCGUUCUAAGGGCGUUGAAGCAUGAUCGUAAGGACAUGUGGAGCGCUUAGAAGUGAGAAUGCCGGUGUGAGUAGCGAAAGACGGGUGAGAAUCCCGUCCACCGAUUGACUAAGGUUUCCAGAGGAAGGCUCGUCCGCUCUGGGUUAGUCGGGUCCUAAGCUGAGGCCGACAGGCGUAGGCGAUGGAUAACAGGUUGAUAUUCCUGUACCACCUAUAAUCGUUUUAAUCGAUGGGGGGACGCAGUAGGAUAGGCGAAGCGUGCGAUUGGAUUGCACGUCUAAGCAGUAAGGCUGAGUAUUAGGCAAAUCCGGUACUCGUUAAGGCUGAGCUGUGAUGGGGAG
rnacentral:rRNA from 1 species